rnacentral:rRNA from 1 species
AUGGGCGCAAGCCUGAUCCAGCCAUGCCGCGUGCAGGAUGACGGUCCUAUGGAUUGUAAACUGCUUUUGUACAGGAAGAAACCCUUUUACGAGUAGAAGCUUGACGGUACUGUAAGAAUAAGGAUCGGCUAACUCCGUGCCAGCAGCCGCGGUAAUACGGAGGAUCCAAGCGUUAUCCGGAAUCAUUGGGUUUAAAGGGUCCGUAGGCGGUUUGAUAAGUCAGUGGUGAAAGCCCAUCGCUCAACGAUGGAACGGCCAUUGAUACUGUUAGACUUGAAUUAUUAGGAAG